AUGGUUCAGCUGGCCAAUGAUCUGAGAGGUGAAUUACGCGCCCUGCACUCAACCCAGGCGCAGGUCGGCGACAGGCGCCCUCCUUGUCCCGUCAUCAUCGGCAAGGUCCGCGACCAGACGCGUAACGUCAACAACGGCGAGUAUGACCCUGACCACGUCGCCAUCGGCCCGUACAACUACCCUCGGCCCCAGAGCAAGAGCCCGCAGCUCGCCAAGGAGCACGACAAGCUGAUGAGCCUGGACAAGGUGGUCACGGCUGCCAAGGCUCUGAGACCCGGCAUGACGGUGGAGGUGGACGUCUACGUCAACGAGCUCAGAUGCCUCGAGAAAUCUGUGAGGGACUGCUACGGCAACGACUUUGAUGACAUGACGAGCGAGCAAUUCGUGCGCAUGCUCCUCCUCGACGGCUGCUACAUACUCUCCCGCCUCGUCGGCCUUCAACUCGGAGCACAACCCAUGGACGAUGCGGUGGGGACUGCAAAUGCAGGCGUCCUGUCAGCGAACAGGGCCGAGGCGCUGGCCGUGGUCCGUGAUGUGUUCUACCUUGCAGAGAACCAGAUACCUUUUUUUGUCCUUGAGAAGAUUGGGGAGCUGACGGGUUUGGACCAGUGGCGUAGCCAGCCCAAUACACCAGGGUGGGUGGUCCAUGGACCACCCUGGCCACCCCCUAGCUACGCCACUGGUUUGGACGGUAACAACCGUGUGAUUACAGAGACUGCCGAGUAUGCUCUCGAUCUCAUGAGGAGACAAAAGUAUUCAGAGGCAGCGCCGGCCGUGGUGCCGACGGUGCCAGGCAAUCUUCUCCAUCUUCUUCAUAUGCACUUGAAGCCUGUGGCACCUACGAUCUCUUCUGCUACAACGGCCAACGGCGCCAACCCGGAGCCCGUGCGCCGGUGGCGCUCAGCGACAGAAUACUACUUCGCCGGGGUGAUGUUCAAGCGUCGAGACAUGAGCGAGAACGGGCUCACGCGGUGCAUCCUCGACGUGAAGCUGAGCAGCGGCAGUGGCACGCUGGAGGUCCCCUGCUUGGACAUCGACGCCGAGACAUGGCGCCUGCUGCGCAACUUGAUGGAGCUGGAGCAGCGGAACCGGGAGACGGUGGGGAGCCACGUCACAGCGUACUGUGUGUUCAUGUCCCAGGUGGCUUGCACCACAAAGGACGUGGAGCUGUUGACGAAGAGAGGCAUCAUCGUGCAUGGCCAUGGCAACAAUGAUGAGGUGGCCAAAUGCUUCGCCGACCUCUGCAAGGGUAUUAUGUUUGACCCUAACGACGCCCAUCACAACUAUCUGCGGGAGACAUGCUGCAAGCUGGAGAAGCGUUUCCUGAGCAACCCGCGGAGGUGGAUGGCGUGGCUGAGGCAGAAGUAUUUCAACAACCCAUGGCUUGCCGUCGGGCUCCUAGCGGCUGUCAUUGGACUAGUUUGUGGUUUCGUUCAGGCGGUCUACUCUGUUUUGAGUUACAAACAGGGAUGA
rnacentral:rRNA from 1 species